UUUGAGGAAGUUGAAGAAAGUGAAGAAGAGCAAUGGACAAAUCUUGGCCAUCAAUGAGGCAUUCCUACAGAUUUUAUGAUGAGUAUCCAGUCAGAGUCACAUAAAAAUGGAAAGGGGGGUCAGAGCUGCAAAAAGAUGAAAAUGGUUGUCAGAAUCACAGAAAGAUGGAAAUGGGAGAUGCAAAAUCUCAAAUGGGACUUCUAGUAAAGAUGCUAUACUAAUGGAAAGAUCCGGCAGCACAAUUGACGGUAACGAGAUAUUAGCUCCGGUGGAAUGAUUAAAUUAUAUCGUUCCUUAUUUAAGAUUGCCGACGGAUGCUUCUGAGGAGGAAAUCAGAGCGUGCUUAAUUGAUGGCACAGUUUUAUGCAGAAUACUAAAUAGGCUGUGUCCGGUUCAGUUGAAAUGGGAGGGAGUUCAGACCCUGGUUUUGCAAAUGUCAAAAGGUUUCUGGUGGCUGUGGGGGAGUUAGGAUUCCCUCCGUUUGAGCUUUUGGACCUAGAGCAGAAUUGUGCUGGCUGGAUUGACCAGUACCAGUGUGUAAUAUCAGCAUCUGUCGAUCAAUUGAUGGUUUGAGAUCAUUUGCAGGGAUCUUUGGUGCCAGUUAUACGGUGCCUUAGUGCACUCAAAACUUCAUUUGAUUUUGGUUUUUGGGAAGAGAACACAAAAAAUGAAACAAAGCUAGACAGGAGGGGAGUUGUUGGAGUUAGAAUAGUUGAGGAAAAUUUAUCGUAAUCAAUCAUUCAAGAGAUAUGGACAACAGGAUACUCAAAAUACAGAAGGGACACAGGGAAAUUCAAAUGACUCAACUUCUGAAGUGACAGGUAGGAGAUCAUAGACUUGUAUAAACACUAAAUUGACAAAUUGUAUAAGUCAUAUUUACACAUUUAAUCUUAUGUUCAUUCAAGAUCUUUGGUGAUCCUGCAAAUGGUACGAGUCAUAUACAAGCAUCAAUUAUUUACCUUAUUUAGUUUUAGGAGUAAUCUUAUUAGAGAUUUGGGCAAUUUUUCUCAGCUUUGCUAGAAAACCUUAUCGAGAAGAGCAUAUGUAGGAUAGUUAUAUGGUAAGGGGUUUUGCAGUAUUGCCAUGAUGCUGGGUCUGUGCUCAUAUAAUAUACUGCACGUAAGACAUUAUAACUUGUGCAAUACUGCUUAAGUCCCCAAUUGGAGGAAUUCAGGAGUUACUGUGGUAGGUUUCUAAGACGCAAACUGUAUUUCUCUGGGAUAUUGUUGUCAAUACUUGAGUUUAAUACUUUGUAAGGCUAGUCUGAUAUACAGAGUGAAAUGUUGAUGAGUUGGAGCACUUCUUUUCAGUUGGCAUGCCUCAUCAAACUAAUUGGAGAAAUACGUUAU